AAGGUUAGAUGUGAAAAGGCCAUGGCUCAACUGUGGGACUGCAUCGUGAGACUGGAUUUCUUGAGUGCUGGAGAGGAAAGCGGAAUUCCUAGUGUAGCGGUGAAAUGCGUAGAUAUUAGGAGGAACACCAGUGGCGAAGGCGGCUUUCUGGACAGUAACUGACGCUGAGGCGCGAAAGCGUGGGGAGCAAACAGGAUUAGAUACCCUGGUAGUCCACGCCGUAAAGCGAUGGAUACUAGGUGUAGAGGUAUCGACCCCUUCUGUGCCGCAGUUAACACAAUAAGUAUCCCACCUGGGGAGUACGGCCGGCAAGGUUGAAACUGCAAAGGAUUGACGGGGGCCCGCACAAGGCAGUGGAGUAUGUGGUUCUAAUCAACAACGCGAAGAACCUUACCAGGGCUUGACAUACAGUGGAAAUAUGCCUAAGAUACAUAGGCCCUUCGGGGCUGCUGAACAGGUGGUGCAUGGUUGUCUCAGCUCGUGUCGUGAGAUGUUGGGUAAGUCCCGCAACGAGCGCAACCCUUGUUGUUAGUUGCCAUCAUUAAGUUGGGCACUCUAACGAGACUGCCGGUGAUAAAUCGGAGGAAGGUGGGGACGACGUCAAAUCAUCAUGCCCCUUAUGUCCUGGGCUACACACGUACUACAAUGGCCAUUACAGCAGGAAGCGAAGCGGUAACGUGGAGCAAAUCCUCAAAAAUGGUCCCAGUUCAGAUUGUGGGCUGCAACUCGCCCACAUGAAGUCGGAAUUGCUAGUAAUUGCAGGUCAGCAUACUGCAGUGAAUACGUUCCCGGGCCUUGUACACACCGCCCGUCACACCAUGAGAGUCGGUAACACCCGAAGUCAGUAGCAUAACCGUAAGGAGUGCGCUGCCGAAGGUGGGGCU
rnacentral:rRNA from 1 species